rnacentral:rRNA from 1 species
UGUAACGGGGCUAAACCAUGCACCGAAGCUGCGGCAGCGACGCUGAUGCGUUGUUGGGUAGGGGAGCGUUCUGUAAGCCUGUGAAGGUGGCCUGUGAGGGUUGCUGGAGGUAUCAGAAGUGCGAAUGCUGACAUAAGUAACGAUAAAGCGGGUGAAAAGCCCGCUCGCCGGAAGACCAAGGGUUCCUGUCCAACGUUAAUCGGGGCAGGGUGAGUCGACCCCUAAGGCGAGGCCGAAAGGCGUAGUCGAUGGGAAACGGGUUAAUAUUCCCGUACUUGGUGUUACUGCGAAGGGGGGACGGAGAAGGCUAUGUUGGCCGGGCGACGGUUGUCCCGGUUUAAGCGUGUAGGUGUGUGUUCCAGGUAAAUCCGGUUCACUUUAACACUGAGGCGUGAUGACGAGGCACUACGGUGCUGAAGCAACAAAUGCCCUGCUUCCAGGAAAAGCCUCUAAGCAUCAGGUAACAUCAAAUCGUACCCCAAACCGACACAGGUGGUCAGGUAGAGAAUACCAAGGCGCUUGAGAGAACUCGGGUGAAGGAACUAGGCAAAAUGGUGCCGUAACUUCGGGAGAAGGCACGCUGACAC